GGGGCUGAUUCUGGAUUCGACGGGAUUUGCGAAACCCAAGGUGCAUGCCGAGGGACGGUUGGCCUCGUAAAAAGCCGCAAAAAAAUAGUCGCAAACGACGAAACCUACGCUUUAGCAGCUUAAUAACCUGCUUAGAGCCCUCUCUCCCUAGCCUCCGCUCUUAGGACGGGGAUCAAGAGAGGUCAAACCCAAAAGAGAUCGCGCGGAUGCCCUGCCUGGGGUUGAAGCGUUAAAACGAAUCAGGCUAGUCUGGUAGUGGCGUGUCCGUCCGCAGGUGCCAGGCGAAUGUAAAGACUGACUAAGCAUGUAGUACCGAGGAUGUAGGAAUUUCGGACGCGGGUUCAACUCCCGCCAGCUCCACCA
rnacentral:tmRNA from 2 species